AAACAUCGCCUCCUGCAGUAUAUAGGAGGUCCAGCCUGCCCAGUGACCAAGUUAAACGGCCGCGGUACCCUAACCGUGCGAAGGUAGCGCAAUCACUUGUUCUUUAAAUGAGGACUAGUAUGAAUGGCAUCACGAGGGUUACACUGUCUCCCACCUCUAAUCAGUGAAACUGAUCUCCCCGUGAAGAAGCGGGGAUAAAACUAUAAGACGAGAAGACCCCAUGGAGCUUCAAACCCGGCAUCAACCAUUAACAUUAAUACCACAUUAAAUAAAUGGACCUGACUGCUGGUUUUAGGUUGGGGUGACCGCGGAGCAUAACAAAACCUCCAUGAUGAACGACCUCCUCUCUAAUCCGAGAGCCACCACUCAAAGAAUCAAAAAAUUGACAUUUAUUGACCCAAACUAUUUUGAUCAACGAACCAAGUUACCCUGGGGAUAACAGCGCAAUCCAUUUCAAGAGCCCCUAUCGACAAAUGGGUUUACGACCUCGAUGUUGGAUCAGGGUAUCCUAGUGGUGCAGCCGCUACUAAAGGUUCGUUUGUUCAACGAUUAAGACCCUACGUGAUCUGA
rnacentral:rRNA from 1 species